rnacentral:rRNA from 1 species
AGAGUUUGAUCAUGGCUCAGAAUCAACGCUGGCGGCGUGCCUAACACAUGCAAGUCGCACGAGAAAGGGGCUUCGGCUCUGAGUAAAGUGGCGCACGGGUGAGUAACACGUGAAUUAUCUACCUCCGAGUGGGGAAUAACUGAGAGAAAUCUUAGCUAAUACCGCAUAACACUUACGAGUCAAAGCAGCAAUGCGCUUGGAGAGGAGUUCGCGGCCGAUUAGUUAGUUGGCGGGGUAAUGGCCCACCAAGACGAUGAUCGGUAUCCGGCCUGAGAGGGCGCACGGACACACUGGAACUGAAACACGGUCCAGACUCCUACGGGAGGCAGCAGUGGGGAAUUUUGCGCAAUGGGGGAAACCCUGACGCAGCAACGCCGCGUGGAGGAUGAAAUCCCUUGGGAUGUAAACUCCUUUCGAUAGGGAAGAUUAUGACGGUACCUAUAGAAGAAGCCCCGGCUAACUUCGUGCCAGCAGCCGCGGUAAUACGAGGGGGGCAAGCGUUGUUCGGAAUUAUUGGGCGUAAAGGGCGCGUAGGCGGUUUGACAAGUCUGAUGUGAAAUCUCUGGGCUCAACCCAGAGUCUGCAUUAGAAACUGUCGGGCUUGAGUAUGGGAGAGGUGAGUGGAAUUUCCGGUGUAGCGGUGAGAUGCGUAGAUAUCGGAAGGAACACCUGUGGCGAAAGCGGCUCACUGGACCAUAACUGACGCUGAGGCGCGAAAGCUAGGGGAGCAAACAGGAUUAGAUACCCUAGUAGUCC